rnacentral:rRNA from 1 species
GAUAUUUGUCAAUGGGGGAAACCCUGAACCAGCAAUGCCGCGUGAGUGACGAAGGNUUNNGGAUCNUNAAGAACUGUCCUUGGNNNNNAUAAUGACGGUCCAACAGAAGAAAGAUACGGCUAACCUAGUGCCAGCAGCCGCGGUAAUACGUAGGUGGCAAGCGUUGUCCGGAAUUAUUGGGCGUAAAUGGCUAGUAGGAGGCCAGUUAUGUCAGAUGUGAAAGGCUAGGGCUCAACCCUAACAUGGCAUUUGAAACUGAUUGGCUUGAGAGUAGGAGAGGGAAGUGGAAUUCCUAAUGUAGCGGUGAAAUGCGUAGAUAUUAGGAGGAACACCAGUGGCGAAGGCGACUUCCUGGCCUACAACUGACGCUGAUGCGCGAAAGCGUGGGGAGCAAAC